rfam:Biomphalaria glabrata isolate BB02 unplaced genomic scaffold LGTN_random_Scaffold5899, whole genome shotgun sequence.
UGGCUGAGCGGUAAAGCGCUUGACUUCUGAACCAAGGGUCCCGGGUUCGAAUCCUGG